GGCAUGUGAGCAUGCAGGUCUGGGCAGAUGAGACAUAGUUGUUGUUCUAGGGAUGGGCAUGUGAGCAUGCAGGUCUGGACAGAUGAGACAUAGUUGUUGUUCUAGGGAUGGGCAUGUGAGCAUGCAGGUCUGGACAGAUGAGACAUAGUUGUUGUUCUAGGGAUGGGCAUGUGAGCAUGCAGGUCUGGACAGAUGAGACAUAGUUGUUGUUCUAGGGAUGGGCAUGUGAGCAUGCAGGUCUGGACAGAUGAGACAUAGUUGUUGUUCUAGGGAUGGGCAUGUGAGCAUGCAGGUCUGGACAGAUGAGACAUAGUUGUUGUUCUAGGGAUGGGCAUGUGAGCAUGCAGGUCUGGGCAGAUGAGACAUAGUUGUUGUUCUAGGGAUGGGCAUGUGAGCAUGCAGGUCUGGACAGGUGAGACAUAGUUGUUGUUCUAGGGAUGGGCAUGUGAGCAUGCAGGUCUGGACAGAUGAGACAUAGUUGUUGUUCUAGGGAUGGGCAUGUGAGCAUGCAGGUCUGGGCAGAUGAGACAUAGUUGUUGUUCUAGGGAUGGGCAUGUGAGCAUGCAGGUCUGGGCAGAUGAGACAUAGUUGUUGUUCUAGGGAUGGGCAUGUGAGCAUGCAGGUCUGGACAGGUGAGACAUAGUUGUUGUUCUAGGGAUGGGCAUGUGAGCAUGCAGGUCUGGACAGAUGAGACAUAGUUGUUGUUCUAGGGAUGGGCAUGUGAGCAUGCAGGUCUGGACAGAUGAGACAUAGUUGUUGUUCUAGGGAUGGGCAUGUGAGCAUGCAGGUCUGGGCAGAUGAGACAUAGUUGUUGUUCUAGGGAUGGGCAUGUGAGCAUGCAGGUCUGGACAGGUGAGACAUAGUUGUUGUUCUAGGGAUGGGCAUGUGAGCAUGCAGGUCUGGACAGAUGAGACGUAGUUGUUGUUCUAGGGAUGGGCAUGUGAGCAUGCAGGUCUGGACAGAUGAGACAUAGUUGUUGUUCUAGGGAUGGGCAUGUGAGCAUGCAGGUCUGGGCAGAUGAGACAUAGUUGUUGUUCUAGGGAUGGGCAUGUGAGCAUGCAGGUCUGGACAGAUGAGACAUAGUUGUUGUUCUAGGGAUGGGCAUGUGAGCAUGCAGGUCUGGACAGAUGAGACAUAGUUGUUGUUCUAGGGAUGGGCAUGUGAGCAUGCAGGUCUGGACAGAUGAGACGUAGUUGUUGUUCUAGGGAUGGGCAUGUGAGCAUGCAGGUCUGGGCAGAUGAGACAUAGUUGUUGUUCUAGGGAUGGGCAUGUGAGCAUGCAGGUCUGGACAGGUGAGACAUAGUUGUUGUUCUAGGGAUGGGCAUGUGAGCAUGCAGGUCUGGACAGAUGAGACAUAGUUGUUGUUCUAGGGAUGGGCAUGUGAGCAUGCAGGUCUGGACAGAUGAGACAUAGUUGUUGUUCUAGGGAUGGGCAUGUGAGCAUGCAGGUCUGGGCAGAUGAGACAUAGUUGUUGUUCUAGGGAUGGGCAUGUGAGCAUGCAGGUCUGGACAGGUGAGACAUAGUUGUUGUUCUAGGGAUGGGCAUGUGAGCAUGCAGGUCUGGACAGAUGAGACAUAGUUGUUGUUCUAGGGAUGGGCAUGUGAGCAUGCAGGUCUGGACAGAUGAGACGUAGUUGUUGUUCUAGGGAUGGGCAUGUGAGCAUGCAGGUCUGGACAGAUGAGACGUAGUUGUUGUUCUAGGGAUGGGCAUGUGAGCAUGCAGGUCUGGACAGAUGAGACAUAGUUGUUGAUCUAGGGAUGGGCAUGUGAGCAUGCAGGUCUGGACAGGUGAGACAUAGUUGUUGUUCUAGGGAUGGGCAUGUGAGCAUGCAGGUCUGGACAGAUGAGACAUAGUUGUUGUUCUAGGGAUGGGCAUGUGAGCAUGCAGGUCUGGACAGAUGAGACAUAGUUGUUGUUCUAGGGAUGGGCAUGUGAGCAUGCAGGUCUGGGCAGAUGAGACAUAGUUGUUGUUCUAGGGAUGGGCAUGUGAGCAUGCAGGUCUGGACAGGUGAGACAUAGUUGUUGUUCUAGGGAUGGGCAUGUGAGCAUGCAGGUCUGGACAGAUGAGACAUAGUUGUUGUUCUAGGGAUGGGCAUGUGAGCAUGCAGGUCUGGGCAGAUGAGACAUAGUUGUUGUUCUAGGGAUGGGCAUGUGAGCAUGCAGGUCUGGACAGGUGAGACAUAGUUGUUGUUCUAGGGAUGGGCAUGUGAGCAUGCAGGUCUGGACAGAUGAGACAUAGUUGUUGUUCUAGGGAUGGGCAUGUGAGCAUGCAGGUCUGGACAGGUGAGACAUAGUUGUUGUUCUAGGGAUGGGCAUGUGA